CGUCUGCCCGACCUUCAAGGUUCUACCAUGUUCUCGCGGGCGAGUAUUGUCGGGCUGUCGGCCUGCUCCUUGCAGCCGCAAUGAAGUUUUAUGUCUGCAAUCACUAGGAUCAUUGUUCAGAUGGCUAUUUUUGUGAGUGGAAGUCUGAAUGCCCAGGUUCCUUGUCCACUAAACAAGUCCCGACUACUGUAACUUUAUAAAAGUCUCAAGUGGGAGCUUCAGCUCCUUCCUUCAUAAUUACUCAUGACCAUAGAGCAUUUGCAUCCCCACAGAGACUUUGCCAUAGUUUAUUCUGUCGUCAGUAGCUCGUGGUUGUGAUUGCGUUGAAUUAUAUGUCAAGUUGAAGAGAACUGGGCUUUGGCAGUGUUUUUGAA
rnacentral:lncRNA from 1 species